rnacentral:rRNA from 1 species
UACAGAGGGGGCAAGCGUUGUUCGGAAUUACUGGGCGUAAAGGGCGCGUAGGCGGCCUGUUAAGUCGAACGUGAAAUCCCCGGGCUCAACCCGGGAACUGCGUCCGAUACUGGCAGGCUUGAAUUCGGGAGAGGGAUGGCGGAAUUCCAGGUGUAGCGGUGAAAUGCGUAGAUAUCUGGAGGAACACCGGUGGCGGAAGGCGGCAUCCUGGACCGAGAUUGACGCUGAGGCGCGAAAGCCAGGGGAGGCAAAC